AGGCUGUAACUGACUAGGUUCAGCCCAUUGACUGAGUCAAUCUACGAGACACUGGAUUAGCGCAAUGGAAUCUGACAGGACCGGUGAGGAGCGCUUCGAGUUAACUUGUGCAGGGAAGAGACGGACGGUACCUGCGAGGGAGCUCCGCUACUACGUGCAGCAGCGCGUAAUACGUAGGAGCGAGCGUGUCGAUACUGGGCGUAAAGGGCGCGUAGCGUGUUCAGUCGUCAGUAAAAUGUGAGGCUACUCAUAAGCAGACGAAACUGGAAUGCUGGAGGAACAGAGAGGCAGACAGAAUUCCUGGUGUAGCGGUGAAAUGCGUAGAUAUCAGGAAGAAUACCGGUGGCGAAGGCGGUCUGCUGGCUGUAUUCUGACGCUGAAGCGCGAAAGCCAGGGGAGCGAACGGGAUUAGAUACCCCGGUAGUCCUGGCAGUAAACGAUGUAUGCUGGGUGUGAGAUUAGCGAUAGUUUCGUGCCGAAGUUAACGCGAUAAGCAUACCGCCUGGGGAGUACGGUCGCAAGAUUGAAACUCAAAGGAAUUGACGGGGGCCCGCACAAGCGGUGGAGCACGUGGUUUAAUUCGAUGCAAACCGAAGAACCUUACCUGGGCUUGACAUACACGUGGUAGCGAAUCGAAAGAGGAGCGACGCGGCCUUCGGGUUGUGAGCGUGAACAGGUGCUGCAUGGCUGUCGUCAGCUCGUGUCGUGAGAUGUUGGGUUAAGUCCCGCAACGAGCGCAACCCCUAUUGCCGGUUGCUAACAGAUAAAGCUGAGCACUCCGGCGAGACUGCCAUCGACAAGAUGGAGGAAGGUGGGGAUGACGUCAAGUCAUCAUGGCCUUUAUGUCCAGGGCGACACACAUGCUACAAUGGCUGGUACAAAGGGAAGCGAGACCGGAAGGUGGAGCAGAUCCCGGAAAGCCAGUCUCAGUUCGGAUUGCAGUCUGCAACUCGACUGCAUGAAGUUGGAAUCGCUAGUAAUCGCGGAUCAGCCAAGCCGCGGUGAAUACGUUCCCGGGCCUUGUACACACCGCCCGUCACACCAUCCGAGUCGGGUGCUCUCAAAGUCGGAGGCUUAACCGCAAGGAAAGAUCCGCCUAAAGAGUGUCCGGUGAGGAGGGUGAAGUCGUAACAAGGUAAAUCACUGCCGUCGUACCCCC
rnacentral:rRNA from 1 species